UGGCACAGAAUAGGAAGUUGUACCAGAAGCGUAACUCGAGCAAAUAUUUGUCCGCGUUUUUACAAGCGAUUCGUCAUCAAUCACGCCAUCCUGGCUAGUACAACCGGCACUUUGUACCUACCAAAUCCUGAUAAAACUUCCGGCUGUACUAGCCAGGAUGGCGUGGCCUGACGUGAGCGAGUUAAAAUUUUCGUGGACGUCAAACAAUAAGGGAAACGACUAGAGUUACGCUUCUGG